AGUGAACGCUGGCGGUAGGCCUAACACAUGCAAGUCGAACGGCAGCACAGUAAGAGCUUGCUCUUACGGGUGGCGAGUGGCGGACGGGUGAGGAAUACAUCGGAAUCUACUUUUUCGUGGGGGAUAACGUAGGGAAACUUACGCUAAUACCGCAUACGACCUACGGGUGAAAGCAGGGGAUCUUCGGACCUUGCGCGAUUGAAUGAGCCGAUGUCGGAUUAGCUAGUUGGCGGGGUAAAGGCCCACCAAGGCGACGAUCCGUAGCUGGUCUGAGAGGAGGGUCAGCCGCACUGGAACUGGAACACGGACCAGACUCCUACGAGAGGCAGCAGUGGGGAAUAUUGGACAAUGGGCGCAAGCCUGAUCCAGCCAUACCGCGUGUGUGAAGAAGGCCUUCGGGUUGUAAAGCCCUUUUGUUGGGAAAGAAAAGCAGCAGGUUAAGACCCCGCUGUUCUGACGGUACCCAAAGAAUAAGCACCGGCUAACUUCGUG
rnacentral:rRNA from 1 species